UGGGGAAUUUUGCACAAUGGGGGAAACCCUGAUGCAGCGACGCCGCGUGAUUUAGAAGGCCUUCGGGUUGUAAAAAUCUUUUCUAUGGGAAGAAAAUGACAGUACCAUAGGAAUAAGGACCGGCUAAUUACGUGCCAGCAGCCGCGGUAAUACGUAAGGUCCGAGCGUUGUCCGGAAUCAUUGGGCGUAAAGGGUACGUAGGCGGGUAAGCAAGUUAGAAGUGAAAUCCUAUAGCUCAACUAUAGUAAGCUUUUAAAACCGCUCAUCUUGAGGUAUGGAAGGGAAAGUGGAAUUCCUAGUGUAGCGGUGAAAUGCGCAGAUAUUAGGAGGAAUACCGGUGGCGAAGGCGACUUUCUGGCCAUAACCUGACGCUGAGGUACGAAAGCGUGGGUAGCAAACAGG
rnacentral:rRNA from 1 species